rnacentral:tRNA from 1 species
GCGUCCUUAGUUCAGUUGGUAGAACGUCGGUCUCCAAAACCGAAUGCCAGGGGUUCGAGUCCUCUAGGGCGCG